CUCAUUAAUACAUCGAUAGUAAUAUUUAAAAAAAAAAAAUAACAAUCAUUUAUUCACAUGAAAGUUGUCACAUUUUACAGUUCCCUGACAGUGGUGCUUCGCUGUGGAUGUCCCCACCUGAUGUACUGCGUUAUUCUGUCCUCCCCUUUUUAGCCCAAAGUGACCUGGUACAAAAACAAGAUGGACAUCACGAACGAACCCAAGUACCGGAUGCUCAGCAAGCACGGCGUCCUGACGCUGGAGAUCCGUAAGCCCUGUCCGUUCGACGGGGGCGUGUACACGUGCAAGGCGGUCAACGACAGCGGAGAAGACACGGUGGAGUGUAAGCUGGAGGUCCGCUCUCAAGUCUUUAAAGAGGAAAAGAAAAAUGAAAAGUAAGAGGCUCCGGGCGCUGAACCGAAGAGCGGGUCCAGCCGUCUGUGAAUCGUCCCGAAUGUCCCUCUUCACUCUUCACCUGCAUCUUCAUCAUCUUUUUUUCUGUGCGUGUUAGCAACUCUUCCCUCUUCCACCAUCAGCCUGUGUCGAGUCACUCUCACCGCUGUGCUGAUGUCGUCAAUAUCAUAUCAUGAAGUCGUGGUUUAACCCACUGGAAAGUUUUAGUCCAAGAAACAAGACGCUUAUUUCUCAUUCAUU